rnacentral:rRNA from 1 species
AGUGAACGCUGGCGGUAGGCCUAACACAUGCAAGUCGAACGGCAGCACAGUAAGAGCUUGCUCUUACGGGUGGCGAGUGGCGGACGGGUGAGGAAUACAUCGGAAUCUACUUUUUCGUGGGGGAUAACGUAGUGAAACUUACGCUAAUACCGCAUACGACCUACGGGUGAAAGCAGGGGAUCUUCGGACCUUGCGCGAUUGAAUGAGCCGAUGUCGGAUUAGCUAGUUGUCGGGGUAAAUGCCCACCAAGGCGACGAUCCGUAGCUGGUCUGAGAGGAUGAUCAGCCACACUGGAACUGAGACACGGUCCAGACUCCUACGGGAGGCAGCAGUGGGGAAUAUUGGACAAUGGGCGCAAGCCUGAUCCAGCCAUACCGAGUGGGUGAAGAAGGCCUUCGGGUUGUAAAGCCCUUUUGUUGGGAAAGAAAAGCAGCAGGUUAAUACCCCGCUGUUCUGACGGUACCCAAAGAAUAAGCACCGGCUAACUUCGUG